rnacentral:pre_miRNA from 1 species
UUUUUAGUAGAGGUAUAUACCAUGCAAUGUUUGGAAUAUACUUCUACUAAAA